rnacentral:rRNA from 1 species
AGUCGAACGGGAUCCGGCGCAAGCCGGAUUCAGUGGCAGACGGGUGAGUAACGCGUAGGAAUCUACCCCUGGGUGGAGCAUAGCCGGCCGAAAGGUCGGGUAAUUCUCCAUAGUUCUCGCAAGAGUAAAGGACUUAACGGUCCGCCGAGGGAGGAGCCUGCGUCCCAUCAGCUAGUCGGUAGGGUAAUUGCCUACCAAGGCGAUGACGGGUAGCUGGACUGAGAGGUCGAUCAGCCACAACUGCACUGAGACACGGGCAGUACACCUACGGGUGGCAGCAACCAGGAAUAUUGCGCAAUGGACGAAAGUCUGACGCAGCGACGCCGCGUGGAGGAAGACAGCUUUCGGGUUGUAAACUCCUUUUGCCAAGCCGUUCACAGCUUGGAGAAUAAGCCUCUACUAACUACGUGCCAGAAGUCUCGGUAAUACGUAGGAGGCAAGCGUUAUCCGGAUUCAUUGGGCGUAAAGUGUGCGUAGGCGUUCCAUAAAGUCUUCACUUAAAGACCAAGGCUUACCCUUGGGACUGGUGGGGAUACUCAUGGAAUUGAGGAUUGGUAGGGAUGUUGGAACAGUUAGUGUAGCAGUGAAAUGCGUUGAUAUCAACUGGAACACCAAGGGCGAAGGCAAGCAUCUGUACUUUUCCUGACGCUGAGGCACGAAAGCUAGGGUAGCGAAACAGAUUAGAUACCUGUGUAGUCCUAGCCGUAAACGAUGUCCGCUAACCUUCUCUGAUUUAUUGGAGGAGGUUCAAGCUAACGCAUUAAGCGGACCGCCUGGGGAGUACGGCCGCAAGGCUAACACUCAAAUGAAUUGACGGGG